UCAAAAUAAAAUAAAAUAGAAUCAAAAGUAACAAGUUCUAAAACAGAACAAAAUGAAUUUUGUAAAAGCAAUUAAAUGCAAUAUCGUCUGGCACGAAAUAAGCAAAUAAUCAAUUUCAAUGCCAUUCAUCUAAUAUCAAAUGGAAAAAAUGUCAAACGAAGAUGUCCUUAAGAUCCAGUUUAGGAAUUCAUAAAUAUGAUGCUUCUGUGACUGACAAACCCGUGCCAUAUUCAAUUGCUAAUUGAUUCUCGCCCGUGUUUUCCCACAUCCCACCCCAUUUAUGAAUGAUAAUGGCAACAAAAUACAAAGUAUAAUUGAAAUAAAAAUGUUCUGUCCACAGUUGCUUUAA